UUAACUCUCAGUGAUGCUGCAGUGCUCGUUUGACUUUGGGACCUGAAGGAUACGGAGUUUAGGACCCAGAUUACUCCCAGAUUUAAGAGCAUCUUAUUCCGACAAAUAGGGCAAUAACGACGGCCGCUUGCAUGUUCUGCAAAAAAAUGUGCUUUGUUGUGUAUCUGACGGACAAACACCAAACCAGUUCCACAUCACUGAAGUUGCACCAUUUUUACAAACCAAUUCUGGUUCUGUCAGGGUUCUGGGUCUGAGCAACCCAGGAUCCCUGAGCAGUUUAUGGACUUGUUAUAUUAUAUGUAUUAUUGGUGUUUUGCUGCCCCCUCUUCUCCGUCCUUGUAGAUAUGAGUAUAUGUGUGUAUGGGUGUAGGUGUAUCUGAACCCUUGUUUACAGGCGCCUUCAGGCCUGGUGGGUGUGGCCCUGCUAGGGGAAUGGCCACACCCGAAGCCACGCACCUGCUGCUGAUCAGGCCUCGUCGGGGGAGCUACUUAAGAGAGUCUUGGAGCUCCCAUCGGCGCGGGAUCAUUGCGUGAGACUCCACGAGGAGCGUGGGAAGCCUGAAGAGCGGCGAGCACCGGGAGUGCGACACACGGGAGCAGAGAGCACAAGGAGGACAUGACACGGGAGUCUGGAGAAAACACGGGGAUUUAUUAUUGUUUGUACCACACACUGUAAAUAAACGCACUGUUCGCACACAGA